UACAGAGGGUGCAAGCGUUAAUCGGAAUUACUGGGCGUAAAGGGCGCGUAGGCGGUCAGCACAAGUCAGUUGUGAAAUCUCCGGGCUUAACUCGGAAAGGUCAACUGAUACUGUGCGACUAGAGUGCGGAAGGGGCAACUGGAAUUCUCGGUGUAGCGGUGAAAUGCGUAGAUAUCGAGAGGAACACCUGCGGCGAAGGCGGGUUGCUGGGCCGACACUGACGCUGAUGCGCGAAAGCCAGGGGAGCGAACGGG
rnacentral:rRNA from 1 species